GUAGGUGGCAAGCGUUGUCCGGAAUUAUUGGGCGUAAAGCGCGCGCAGGCGGUUCUUUAAGUCUGAUGUGAAAGCCCACGGCUCAACCGUGGAGGGUCAUUGGAAACUUGAGAACUUGAGUACAGAAGAGGAAAGCGGAAUUCCACGUGUAGCGGUGAAAUGCGUAGAGAUGUGGAGGAACACCAGUGGCGAAGGCGGCUUUCUGGUCUGUAACUGACGCUGAGGCGCGAAAGCGUGGGGAGCAAACAGGAUUAGAUACCCUGGUAGUCCACGCCGUAAACGAUGAGUGCUAAGUGUUAGGGGGUUUCCGCCCCCCUUAGUGCUGCAGCUAGCGCAUUAAGCACUCCGCCUGGGAGUACGGCCGCAAGGCUG
rnacentral:rRNA from 1 species